rnacentral:rRNA from 1 species
CCACUGGAAACGGUGGCUAAUACCGGAUGUGCCGAAAGGUGAAAGGCUUGCUGCCUGAAGAUGAGCUCGCGUCUGAUUAGCUAGUAGGUGGGGUAAGAGCCUACCUAGGCGACGAUCAGUAGCUGGUCUGAGAGGAUGACCAGCCACACUGGGACUGAGACACGGCCCAGACUCCUACGGGAGGCAGCAGUGGGGAAUUUUCCGCAAUGGGCGAAAGCCUGACGGAGCAAUACCGCGUGAGGGAGGAAGGCUCUUGGGUUGUAAACCUCUUUUCUCAGGGAAGAACACAAUGACGGUACCUGAGGAAUCAGCAUCGGCUAACUCCGUGCCAGCAGCCGCGGUAAUACGGAGGAUGCAAGCGUUAUCCGGAAUGAUUGGGCGUAAAGCGUCCGCAGGUGGCUGUGUAAGUCUGCUGUCAAAGAGCGAAGCUCAACUUCGUAAAGGCAGUGGAAACUACACGGCUAGAGUGCGUUCGGGGCAGAGGGAAUUCCUGGUGUAGCGGUGAAAUGCGUAGAGAUCAGGAAGAACACCGGUGGCGAAGGCGCUCUGCUAGGCCGCAACUGACACUGAGGACGAAAGCUAGGGGAGCGAAUGGGAUUAGAUACCCCAGUAGUCAC